GUAAUGGUCUCAAGACUGCGGAGCAUGUUCACGCACAGCAUGGACACCACUUCAUGUAGGGGCACUGGACUGCCUAGAGUUGGAGGAAGGGACCCUUAUGUGUCUCCAGAAGCCUUCCUUUCCAUUCCUGUGGGGUCUGACAGUUGUUGGAAGAAGGCCUGCAGGUCCAGGGCCGAGCAGGGGCCUCCACCGUCUGCUGAGGAACUUACUGUGUCUCUGUUUGAUUGAGCCUGGGCAUGAGAUAAAACACGAGGUCAUCUGCAAUGGCACUGGUGCUGUGGCUGUAUCAGCAUGGCUCUGAUGUCCCUUCGGGGCAGGCAACAGUUCAGGGAGGACUUACAAGCAAGCUCUGGAACUUGAAGUCUCAAGAGAUGACAAAUAGUCAAUUCUCAAAAAAUGAAGAAAAGAAAAACUUGUUUCUUCAUGUUUGCUAACCCUAUCUAUAUCUAUGGUUUUGGCCAAUAAAUUCACUGUGUUUAAAUCCUC
rnacentral:lncRNA from 1 species